UCCAGGGUAACCUAGUGGACAUGGCAUCUGCCCGGUAAGCUGAACACUGUGGGUUCGAUUCCCAUCCCUGGAC
rnacentral:tRNA from 1 species